rnacentral:rRNA from 1 species
CAUGCAAGUCGAGCGGACUUGAUGAGAAGCUUGCUUCUCUGAUGGUUAGCGGCGGACGGGUGAGUAACACGUAGGCAACCUGCCCUCAAGCUUGGGACAACUACCGGAAACGGUAGCUAAUACCGAAUACUUGUUUUCUUCGCCUGAAGGAAACUGGAAAGACGGAGCAAUCUGUCACUUGAGGAUGGGCCUGCGGCGCAUUAGCUAGUUGGUGAGGUAACGGCUCACCAAGGCGACGAUGCGUAGCCGACCUGAGAGGGUGAUCGGCCACACUGGGACUGAGACACGGCCCAGACUCCUACGGGAGGCAGCAGUAGGGAAUCUUCCGCAAUGGGCGAAAGCCUGACGGAGCAAUGCCGCGUGAGUGAUGAAGGUUUUCGGAUCGUAAAGCUCUGUUGCCAGGGAAGAACGCUUAGGAGAGUAACUGCUCCUGAGGUGACGGUACCUGAGAAGAAAGCCCCGGCUAACUACGUGCCAGCAGCCGCGGUAAUACGUAGGGGGCAAGCGUUGUCCGGAAUUAUUGGGCGUAAAGCGCGCGCAGGCGGUCAUUUAAGUCUGGUGUUUAAUCCCGGGGCUCAACCCCGGAUCGCACUGGAAACUGGGUGACUUGAGUGCAGAAGAGGAGAGUGGAAUUCCACGUGUAGCGGUGAAAUGCGUAGAUAUGUGGAGGAACACCAGUGGCGAAGGCGACUCUCUGGGCUGUAACUGACGCUGA